UGCCAGCCGCCGCGGUAAUACAGAGGGUGCAAGCGUUAUUCGGAAUUACUCGGCGUAAAGCGCGCGUAGGCGGACUGUUAAGUCGGUUGUGAAAGCCCUGGGCUCAACCUAGGAACUGCAUCCGAUACUGGCAAUCUAGAGUUUAAGAGAGGGAAGUGGAAUUCCAGGUGUAGCAGUGAAAUGCGUAGAUAUCUGGAGGAACAUCAGUGGCGAAGGCGACUUCCUGGGCCAAUACUGACGCUGAGGUGCGAAAGCGUGGGGAGCAAACAGGAUUAGAUA
rnacentral:rRNA from 1 species